rnacentral:rRNA from 1 species
GACGUAGGGCGCGAGCGUUGUCCGGAUUUAUUGGGCGUAAAGAGCUCGUAGGCGGCUUGUCGCGUCGUCCGUGAAAACCUGCAGCUCAACUGCAGGCUUGCGGUCGAUACGGGCAGGCUGGAGUUCGGUAGGGGAGACUGGAAUUCCUGGUGUAGCGGUGAAAUGCGCAGAUAUCAGGAGGAACACCGGUGGCGAAGGCGGCUCUCUGGACCGAUAUUGACGCUGAGACGCGAAAGCGUGGGUAGCAAACAGG